rnacentral:lncRNA from 1 species
AUGUACAAGGCUCCACCCACGCAGGAACAGGACAGGUCUCAUUGUAAUCCACCUGGAUCUCCCACAUACAGGCAGCAGCUCUUCUGCAGGAGGGCCUGUCCUGUAAGCCCAUAUUCCCGAUGGGAUACAGUAGAGCUUCUUGUCAGGAGCAGCACAGGCCAGCACAGGGAGCCCUCCUCUUCCUCUCGGCACAGUGAGGCACAGUCUCUCGGCACAGUGAGGCACAGUGAGGCGCAGUCUCUUGGCACAGUGAGGCAGUCUCUCAGCACAGUGAGGCAGUCUCUCGGCACAGUGAGGCGCAGUCUCUCAGUCCAGUGAGGCACAGUCUCUCGGCACAGUGAGGCACAGUCUCUCAGCACAGUGAGGCACAGUCUCUCAGCACAGUGAGGCAUAGUGAGGCACAGUCUCUCAGCACAGUGAGGCAGUCUCUCAGUCCAGUGAGGCGCAGUCUCUCGGCACAGUGAGGCACAGUCUCAUAUCACAGUGAGGCGCAGUCUCUCGGCACAGUGAGGCACAGUCUCUUAGCACAGUGAGGCACAGUCUCUUAGCACAGUGAGGCACAGUCUCUUAGCACAGUGAGGCAGUCUCUCAGUCCAGUGAGGCACAGUCUCUCAGUCCAGUGAGGCACAGUCUCUCGGCACAAUGAGACAGUCUCUUAGCACAGUGAGGCAGUCUCUCAGUCCAGUGAGGCACAGUCUCUCGGCACAGUGAGGCAGUCUCUCAGUCCAGUGAGGCACAGUCUCUCGGCACAGUGAGGCACAGUCUCUCGGCACAGUGAGGUGCACCCAGGCGCUCCUUCAGAGAGGCUACAGGCUGUUUUUCUUGGUCAGUGGAGCCUGGUCAGUGCUGAUGGAUUGGCAGUCUAUCAGGAAACAGAAUGCACACGUUACACACACACAGACACCUGAACCCCACCUGCCCCGUCUCCCCCAGUCCCUGCACACACUGACCUUCAGUCGCGGACGAGACGCUGAGCUCGGUCGCCUCCCUGUCCUCAGUCAGAGCUGCGGGGAGAAAUUGCAGCAGCAGAAUUGUUCAGUACAGGCAGAUGAGGCGAUGGCGAGCUUUUUUCUCAAUCACAACUGUGAACCCAGCCCUAACUCUGACCUCCGACCCCAAUACCUACCUUGUUCCCAUCCAUCUGACCUCUGACCCUAGCCCACUCACUUGCUCUCAUCCCUGACGUCUAACACCAACAGCUGUCUUGAUCAGGUGUCUGGCCCCUGACCCCUGACCCCUGACCCCUGACCCCGCACACUCCUCACCGGUGCUCUCCUCGCCCGCCUCGCUGCAGGAGCUCAGGCUGUCCCGGCUGGGGGGGGCGGCGGGCUCCCAGACGAUGGUGCCGACUCUCUGCCGGAAGCGAUCCCGGGGCGUGGCCCGGUUGUCCCCGGGGCUGAAGGACUCCGAGAUGCCGUAGCGGGAGCUGAGCUUCCGGCGGCUGGAGCCCAGGAUCACGCGGCGCUCCUCCAGCAUGCUCUGGGAGCUGGGAGCCUUGCGCAAGGGCGAGGGCGAGACGGGGGCACUGCGGGGGUCUGGAGCCAGAGAGACAGAGAGAGAGGGGCCGGAUGAGAUCCACAGAUCCUGCAGAUCCACAGGUCCUGCAG